UGCAGGUAGGAGAGGAAUUUGGACCUGCCAUGCUCCAGUAUCCACCUAAUCCUUCAGCCAGGGUUUCCUAUGCAUGUCCCACCAGAGUAGGAUUUACACUUCACGCUUCAAUUUUUUUAAUUACCCUCACCCAGCGUAAUUUAGUGGCAUGGAAAGUACUUCCAGUGGCCACAGAUCAUUUACUUGGAAGAAGCAUCUGGGGACAAGGGGAAAAUUCCUCCAUGAAUUCCAAGGCCUCGUUUUCCACUGCAUCCCAUCCAUCGAGACCCAACUGAGAGGUGCUGAAAUAAGGAAGAAAGUGUCAGGAGGAGGUCUUGGAGCACUGUGCCAGGUGGGAGACCACCCCGUCAGCAUCCAGAGGUCAGCCAUGAAGCCUAGGAAACGGAAGCAGACCUGAACAUGUUCCCAGGCAGGGAGCACCAGCAAGGACUGUGUUUUACCCACAGCCUAAUUAAGACCACCUUAUCCAA